CCCUUUUCUUUCAGUGACAUACCAAAUUAUAAGCCUUUUAGACUUGAAAUUUUUUAUCUGUUUGCCCUCCUUGGAGUUUGGUAGAAGCUUUAAAUUUUCUUGUCAUGACAUCAUUUUNNNNNNNNNNNNNNNNUCUGUUUGCCCUCUUUGGAGUUUGGUAGAAGCUUUAAACUUUCUUGUCAUGGCAUCAUUUUAAGUUUGGGGUUGCUUUUGGAAUUAGCAACAUCUUAAGUUUGGGGUAGGGGUACUAGAGAACAAAAAAAAAAUAAAAAAAAUGAUGAUAAUAAUAAUAAGAGACUCACCAAAAUAAUUGAGUUUUCUUCAAAAAAAUAAAGAGCCAUUAAUCAUGAAAAAUAGUGGCAUCUUCAAAAAAAAAAAGAGAAAAAAAAUUGAAAGAUAAGUUCUCUAAAUACCCUAUUAACAAUGAAUUGAGCCCCGAUAAUGGUAAUGCUUCAACAAGGAAUAGUAGUGAAUAUCUAACUCCAAUUUAGCCUACUUUUUCCAAAAUUAUCCCACCGUUUGCCCAAGCCAAAUUAUAACCCUUAAGACCUCAAAAAUGUGUGUGAUGUAUUUACUUUGAUUGACGUUUAGAAUUUUUUCAAACUUAUGGUAAAAUAGCAUUUGCAUGUUGAUGGAGUGAAUAUCCUGUCAAAAAAUUGAGUGAAUUAGUGAGUGAGAGAUAAGGUUGAACUUUGUACAUUGUGUGGAACGGUCAUUGGACCAAAUUUUAUUCAAGUCUUGGAAGCCAAAGUGUUUGAUUAAGCAGGAUCACUGAAGUUAACACCGGUGGUUCUAUUGCCGGAUGAAGAGAAAAAGGUUUAUGAGAUUUUUAUCAUUCAAAUUAAUUUGUUAAUUCCCUGACAAUUUUGUUUUGACAGACAUGUCACUUGAGGACAAGUAACAGUUCA
rnacentral:lncRNA from 1 species